rnacentral:lncRNA from 1 species
GCGGAUCUGGUCCUGCUGCGUCUCGGGCGUGACGGAGCGGAGGAAGUUGAUGUAGUCGUCGGCGUGGAAGCGGCAGAGGUCGCGGUCGCGGGCGGGGUUGGGGCGGUAGACCUGCAUCUGGUUGAGGAGGCCGUAGCGGGCGAGCAGCGAGUGCGUCAUCCGGAUGCGGUGCGGCUUCAUCGGGUGCCCCUGCCCGUAGUAGUAGUUGCCAACCUCCGGGUCGUAGAAGUAGCACACGCGCCGCUUCUGCCCGUCGGGGCCGACCGACGGCAGCGAGUUG